rnacentral:rRNA from 1 species
GUGGGGAAUCUUGCGCAAUGGGCGAAAGCCUGACGCAGCCAUGCCGCGUGAAUGAUGAAGGUCUUAGGAUUGUAAAAUUCUUUCACCGGGGACGAUAAUGACGGUACCCGGAGAAGAAGCCCCGGCUAACUUCGUGCCAGCAGCCGCGGUAAUACGAAGGGGGCUAGCGUUGCUCGGAUUUACUGGGCGUAAAGGGCGCGUAGGCGGACAGUUUAGUCAGAGGUGAAAGCCCAGGGCUCAACCUUGGAAUUGCCUUUGAUACUGGCUGUCUUGAGUACGGUGGAGGUGAGUGGAACUCCGAGUGUAGAGGUGAAAUUCGUAGAUAUUCGGAAGAACACCAGUGGCGAAGGCGACUCACUGGCCCGUUACUGACGCUGAGGCGCGAAAGCGUGGGGAGCAAACAGGAUUAGAAACCCCAGUAGUCC